UUAUAUUAAUCCCAACUCCGAAAGUACGAAAACAUAUUAAGCGGAAUAAAAAAAAAAUAUUUUUUUCUGAUUAAGUUUAAAGUAAUUAAAUUGAUUAAAAAACAAAAGAAAUUAUCAAAGUGUUUAAAAACAAUAACAAGAGUAAGAAGUGUCUUAAAACAAUAAUAGAAAACAAUAAGAAAAAUAAGUUUUAUAUAGCAAGCGCUCUAAGCAAGUGGAGUUAAACAAAAUUUUUUUUACCUACAACUUGGGUCAUUUAUUCGAGGAUUACUCGUAUAUAGAAUCUAAAGCUUUCAUCGUAACAUACCUUAUGCAUGAGUACUUAAUUCUUACCCAAAAACUUUUCUUAAGGACAAUAACGGAAACAUGUCUUCGAUAAAGUACGUCAUCAAAGACUCCCGUGAAGCUGGAACACCUCAAAAGCUGAUCACCCAGCCAAAAGCUAUGUACCUAUUUAAUUAAUUUCUUUUAUUACAUGUAUUUAAUUCAGAAUAUCCCCUCCCAUGAAUAAAAAUUCAAAUUCAAAAUAAGAAA